rnacentral:sRNA from 1 species
UGAACAGCUGACCGUGUUUUGCUACCUGU